rnacentral:lncRNA from 1 species
CCCAUUUUUAACUUUUGAGUGGUCUUUCUUGAAAUGUGACAACACCUCUGUAUAUAAACACAAACUAGAUGCUUGUAUGCAAGAUAGAAUGGAGUUAGUGAACCCAGCUGGAGUAAAGCAUUGGUAGCUGCUCCAGUAAGACAUAUCCCUUCCCUCUUCCCUUCAGCACCAUCUAUUUUUUCCUUAAUUCCAGUGAGUUUGGCAACACUGAUUUCCUUUUUCUGUCUUCCAACAGCAAGGAGGCUAGACAGUGAAAAUUCCAGAAGAAAAGGAGAAGAUGACAUUUCUUCACAGUCUCUUCUGUGUGUAGCUGAACCAACAACAUAAGAAAACUGUUUUCUGUGGGCAUGGGCAGUUUUUCUCCUGCAAUGAAAUGGAAACCUAAAAUCUUAGGUUCUAAGAGCAACCAAAAGACAAAGGUGAACCUAGAGGAAGGGAGAAAAGAGGCACAACUGGAGGGCUACACCCAGACGCACCACGGGAUUCAUCAGCCCAUCACAGCCCUGCCCAGCAGCUCAGAGGAUAAGAGGAGUACAAUGUCAACUGAGAACCCGAAUUAAACACUCAGAGAAAGAGACAGUCUGUCCAGGCCAUUCCCAGGGCUGUCUCAAGAGAACCUGGUUCAGAUGUCACAGCUACCACAUGAGUUUGUAAGAUUAUUUUACUGAAU